UACACUUUCCUACUUUACUACCAUAAAGUGUAUUAAUUUAGUGAAAUGUGAUUUUAUUUUUAAUUUUUUCUUAUCAAUUUUACUAAUUUUUUUUUAUUAAAUCAGUGACAAAGUUAAAAUUAAAUGGUACUAAAAUGAACAUUCGAUAAAUCGAGGUGGAGUAUAUAAUAUUUUUUUUAUAUAAUUUUAAAAAAUCUUUACAAAAAAACUGACGAAAAAAUAAAAAUAAAAUCACAGGAUACUAACUUGAUAUAUUUUAAACCACAUGGCACUGAUUUAAAAAAG
rnacentral:lncRNA from 1 species